rnacentral:misc_RNA from 1 species
UCUCCGUAGGUGAACCUGCGGAAGGAUCAUUGUCGAAACCUGCCCAGCAGAACGACCCGCGAACUUGUAUAAACAACCGGGGGCGGGGGGCGUUCUCGCCCCGUGCCCCCGAACGGCGGGGAGACCCUUGUGCCUUCUUGCCGAACAACGAACCCCGGCGCGGUCUGCGCCAAGGAACUUCAACUAAAGAGUGCCUCCGGUCGCCUCGGAAACGGCGUGCGUGCCGGGGGCGAAUCUUGUGCAAAACCAUAACGACUCUCGGCAACGGAUAUCUCGGCUCUC